CCCUCUUAAAGCCCUCUGGGCUUGGGAGAAAAGGACAUUGAGAUGUCACACUGCACUGAGGGAACACAAGAUUGACCAAGCCCUGGAUGAUCUGCUCUCCAGGCUUUGUUCCCUGGCCAACUAGCCUGGUAUUGCUGCUAUCCUUCUUGCUUUUGGAACGAAUAAGGCUUUUCCUCAACUCUGGGACACCUUGAUUUCUUGCAUUAGGGAGAGCUUCAACUCCUGUAAAUGAAGUGAAUUUAAAAUGAUGCCUAAAUGAAAGGUUCUGUCUUUCAUGUUACACCGAGUGUUGGAAGUUUGCAAGAGGAAGAGUGACUCUGAAUGAGAAUUACUGAGCCAAGUACACAGAGGCUGCUUCUAUUGUGAUGCUGACCUUUUGUGUUAAGAACAUCAAUCAGAGACCUUAGAAAAUGCAUUCAUAAUUGCACUUUUCAGAUUCCUCCAGAAGUCAAUGGAGAUUUGGUAUUUUGAAGGAUCUUGGGAACAUUGGUUAUUACUUGCAAAUACACAGACAUAGCAAUUGUAAACAUAUCAAUGAGUGAAAAUUACAAAAAAAA